AGAGUUUGAUCCUGGCUCAGAACGAACGCUGGCGGCAUGCCUAACACAUGCAAGUCGAACGAAGCCUUCGGGCUUAGUGGCGCACGGGUGCGUAACGCGUGGGAAUCUGCCUUGGGUUCGGAAUAACAGUUAGAAAUGACUGCUAAUACCGAAUGAUGUCUUCGGACCAAAGAUUUAUCGCCCAAGGAUGAGCCCGCGUCGGAUUAGCUAGUUGGUGAGGUAAAGGCUCACCAAGGCGACGAUCCGUAGCUGGUCUGAGAGGAUGAUCAGCCACACUGGGACUGAGACACGGCCCAGACUCCUACGGGAGGCAGCAGUGGGGAAUAUUGGACAAUGGGCGAAAGCCUGAUCCAGCAAUGCCGCGUGAGUGAUGAAGGCCUUAGGGUUGUAAAGCUCUUUUACCCGGGAUGAUAAUGACAGUACCGGGAGAAUAAGCCCCGGCUAACUCCGUG
rnacentral:rRNA from 1 species